AUUUUUCCUUCCCACAGAACACUCGUUGUACGAUUCACAGGUACUGCUGACACAUGCCAGACCUUACAAUGCCUGGAUAGGUCCUUUUUUUGUGUCAGCUAACCACAUCAUAUGUUUUAGCAAUCUGUGAGUCGAUGACACACUCAACCAUUGGUUGAUGCAUGCAACGUCUGAGUAGGGGAACUCGACAUCUGUGUUUGUCACUGUGUUCACUGUUUCUUAGUUGCCCUCCUGACCUCUUCCCCAUUGACUCUUUCAGUCCAGAGAUAAGCAGCUCAUUAACAUACAGCACAUGUUUGUCAGUACAGCGACUUGGUUGGAACUUUAUUGGUAGUUGUUCUUGUACAGUGCAGAAUGUCUUUACAAUGGGUCAAGGGUACACAAAGUGCUGUUGUUUGAUGUUCAACUCGAGCACUCUACUGGAUAACAGAAUGGCCAGUGCUUAAGGCCCACAGAACUGGAUGAGGUUUCUGGGGGCAUGGCAGUCCUACCACUAGUUAUACAACCAGUACAAACAAUGUAAAGCAUCACAGGUGCACAGUGUGCUCAGUAACCUUAAAUUGAAGACUAUUCGGCAAGAGCAUAUUUACUAUGAAAUAUCGUAUUAUCAUAUUAUUAAAUGUGAACUUAUUCUUUAACAAUUAAAAAUAAGCAUUUAUCCAUUCUUGAAUGGCUCUCAAGGUGCAGACAUUGGGUGAUAUUAGCAGAUGUAUGUUACAUGUUCACUGUACUGUCCUCUCCUGUAGGGUUCAGGGUGCCAUUGUAAAAGUGAAGCCCAAGGUUGAAAGUGCCAUCCAAUUAGGAAGUGGUAAAAAAACACACGCCCCGUGAUACACACAAAGUGCACACAUUACUCAUUACUGUGAUCCUGUGUGGCUCAGUUGUUAAAGCAUGGGGCUUGUAAUGCGUGGGUUCAAUUCCCACUGGGGCCACUCAGACGUAAAUGUAUGCACACCUGACUGUUUAAUAGUUACUUUGGAUUGGGUUGCGGUCAUUGGAGUUGCUGGUAUCAUUGGACUCUUUCUUCCAAGAGGUAUUAGUUUUGAAUUUGAAUGACGAGUACCCUGUUUUUUUAUCUCCAUCGUGUGUUUGGGUUUAUCAACUUUGUCUCUGUGUUUAAGCAAACACUCUGUAUCAGUGAGUCUCUGAGCUAGAGUCUGGUCUAGCGGUAGAGCUGUUGCCUCCAGACCAUAUCAAAUAUCAGGCCUACUACUGCUUACUGUUGCCCUAUCCGGUUUUCCCUUUCUUGCUUCUAAUCUAUCUUCUUGAAUAAAAAUUGUCUGUGGUCCCCACUCUUGUGUCUCCUAGGCUCCAGGGUGAAGAAGCUCAUCUACCCUACAGGGCUGAUGGCUGCGGGACACUAUGUACUACCCCCAAGCGGCCGCAUCAAUCGCCAAGAACACUCGUUGUACGAUUUCGCCCUGCAGGGCUACGCUAACAUAGACAUUUUUCAACUCCGCCACCACACCAGUAGAGGGGAAGCCUAUGAAAAACAAGAGGAAAACAGCCCAGCUGCAGAGUCCAAACCCCGAUCAUAGCAGCUACAACAAACCUGAACAUUUCUGCACAAUACCAGUUUUCCAGCACCUUCAUUGACCUGGUGGUCAAUUAGCCUCUGGAUCAGCCUGCAGAUGUAUAGAACACCCCAAUCAC